rnacentral:rRNA from 1 species
CCUACGGGCGGCAGCAGUAGGGAAUCUUUCACAAUGGGCGAAAGCCUGAUGGAGCAACGCCGCGUGCAGGAUGAAGGCCUUCGGGUUGUAAACUGCUUUUAUAAGCGAGAAAUAUGAUGGUAACUUAUGAAUAAGGAUCGGCUAACUACGUGCCAGCAGCCGCGGUCAUACGUAGGAUCCGAGCAUUAUCCGGAGUGACUGGGUGUAAAGAGUUGCGUAGGUGACAUAAUAAGUAGCUAGUGAAAUCUGGUGGCUCAACCAUUCAGACUAUUAGCUAAACUGUUAAGCUCGAGACCGUUAGGGGUAACUGGAAUUUCUAGUGUAGGAGUGAAAUCCGUAGAUAUUAGAAGGAACACCAAUAGCGUAGGCAGGUUGCUGGGACGGUUCUGACACUAAGGCACGAAAGCGUAGGGAGCAAACGGGAUUAGAUACCCCUGUAGUC